UGGAAGUAAAAGUCGUAACAAGGUCUCCGUUGGUGAACCAGCGGAGGGAUCAUUACUGAGUUUACGCUCUACAACCCUUUGUGAACAUACCUAUAACUGUUGCUUCGGCGGGUAGGGUCUCCGUGACCCUCCCGGCCUCCCGCCCCCGGGCGGGUCGGCGCCCGCCGGAGGAUAACCAAACUCUGAUUUAACGACGUUUCUUCUGAGUGGUACAAGCAAAUAAUCAAAACUUUUAACAACGGAUCUCUUGGUUCUGGCAUCGAUGAAGAACGCAGCGAAAUGCGAUAAGUAAUGUGAAUUGCAGAAUUCAGUGAAUCAUCGAAUCUUUGAACGCACAUUGCGCCCGCCAGCAUUCUGGCGGGCAUGCCUGUUCGAGCGUCAUUUCAACCCUCAAGCUCUGCUUGGUGUUGGGGCCCUACAGCUGAUGUAGGCCCUCAAAGGUAGUGGCGGACCCUCCCGGAGCCUCCUUUGCGUAGUAACUUUACGUCUCGCACUGGGAUCCGGAGGGACUCUUGCCGUAAAACCCCCAAUUUUCCAAAGGUUGACCUCGGAUCAG
rnacentral:rRNA from 1 species